GAUGAAGAACGUAGCGAAAUGCGAUAAGUAGUGUGAAUUGCAGAAUUCAGUGAAUCAUCGAAUCUUUGAACGCACAUUGCGCCCGCCAGUAUUCUGGCGGGCAUGCCUGUUCGAGCGUCAUUUCAACCAUCAAGCCCCCGGCUUGUGUUGGGGACCUGCGGCUGCCGCAGGCCCUGAAAAGCAGUGGCGGGCUCGCUGUCACACCGAGCGUAGUAGCAUACAUCUCGCUCCGGGCGUGCUGCGGGUUCCGGCCGUUAAACCACCUUCAUAACCCAAGGUUGACCUCGGAUCAGGUAGGAAGACCCGCUGAACUUAAGCAUAUCAAUAAGCGGAGGA
rnacentral:misc_RNA from 1 species